rnacentral:miRNA from 1 species
UGAGUUGGUGCUAUCAUGCU